rnacentral:snRNA from 1 species
GGAUGUGAGGGCGAUCUGGCUGCCACAUCUGUCACCCCAUUGAUCGCCAGGGUUGAUUCGGCUGAUCUGGCUGGCUAGGCAGGUGUCCCCUUCGUCCCUCACCGCUCCAUGUGCCUCCCUCCCGGAGGACCGUUCUUUGGUCAAGGGUAUACGAGUAGCUGCGCUCCCCUGCUAGAACAAACAAGCUCUCAAGGUCCAUUUGUAGGAGAACGUAGGGUAGUCAAGCUUCUAAGACUCCAGACACAUCCAAAUGAGGCGCUAAUGUGGCAGUCUGCCUUU